rnacentral:miRNA from 2 species
CUAGCAGCACGUCAAAACUGGA